rnacentral:rRNA from 1 species
UACGGGGGGGGCAAGCGUUGUUCGGAAUUACUGGGCGUAAAGGGUGCGUAGGCGGCUUUCUAAGUUGGAUGUGAAAACUAUGGGCUCAACCCAUAGCCUGCAUCCAAAACUGGAGAGCUUGGGUUCUGGAGGGGAAAGCGGAAUUCCUGGUGUAGCGGUGAAAUGCGUAGAUAUCAGGAGGAAUACCUAUGGCGAAAGCAGGUAUCUGGGCCAUCACUGACGCUGAGCUGCGAAAGCUAGGGGAGCAAACAGG